rnacentral:rRNA from 1 species
GACGAACGCUGGCGGCGUGCUUAACACAUGCAAGUCGAACGGUAAGGCCCUUCGGGGUACACGAGUGGCGAACGGGUGAGUAACACGUGGGUGAUCUGCCCCGCACUUCGGGAUAAGCCUGGGAAACUGGGUCUAAUACCGGAUAGGACCACUGCCUGCAUGGGUGGUGGUGGAAAGCUUUUGCGGUGUGGGAUGGGCCCGCGGCCUAUCAGCUUGUUGGUGGGGUGAUGGCCUACCAAGGCGACGACGGGUAGCCGGCCUGAGAGGGUGACCGGCCACACUGGGACUGAGAUACGGCCCAGACUCCUACGGGAGGCAGCAGUGGGGAGUACUGCACAAUGGGCGCAAGCCUGAUGCAGCGACGCCGCGUGAGGGAUGACGGCCUUCGGGUUGUAGACCUCUUUCAGCACCGACGAAGCGCAAGUGACGGUAGGUGCAGAAGAAGGACCGGCCAACUACGUGCCAGCCGCCGCCGUAA